CCUACGGGAGGCAGCAGUGGGGAAUAUUGGGCAAUGGGCGCAAGCCUGACCCAGCAACGCAGCGUGAAGGAAGAAGGCUUUCGGGUUGUAAACUUCUUUUAUCAGGGACGAAGCAAGUGACGGUACCUGUUGAAUAAGUCAAGGCUAACUACGUGCCAGCAGCCGCGGUAAUCCGUAGGCGGCAAGCGUUAUCCGGAUUUACUGGGUGUAAAGGGUGUGUAGGCGGGAGGUUAAGUCAGAUGUGAAAAUUAUGGGCUCAACCAAUAGACUGCAUUUGAUACUGUACUUCUUGAGUGCUGGAGAGGUAAUCGGAAUUCCGGGUGUAGCGGUGAAAUGCUUAGAUAUACGGAAGAACACCAGUGGCGAAGGCGGAUUGCUGGACUGUAACUGACGCUGAGGCGCGAAAGCGUGGGGAGCAAACAGGAUUAGAUACCCCUGUAGUC
rnacentral:rRNA from 1 species